UACGAACGGGACUAGCGUUGUUCGGAAUUACUGGGCGUAAAGCGCGCGUAGGCGGCCUAGCAAGUUGGGGGUGAAAGCCCAGGGCUCAACCCUGGAAUUGCCUCCAAAACUGCGAAGCUCGAGGCCGAGAGAGGAGUGUGGAAUUCCUAGUGUAGAGGUGAAAUUCGUAUAUAUUAGGAAGAACCCCGGUGGCGAAGGCGACACUCUGGCUCGGUACUGACGCUGAGACGCGAAAGCGUGGAGAGCAAACAGG
rnacentral:rRNA from 1 species